rnacentral:rRNA from 1 species
GAUGAACGCUGGCGGCGUGCCUAAUACAUGCAAGUCGAGCGAACAGACGAGGAGCUUGCUCCUCUGACGUUAGCGGCGGACGGGUGAGUAACACGUGGAUAACCUACCUAUAAGACUGGGAUAACUUCGGGAAACCGGAGCUAAUACCGGAUAAUAUAUUGAACCGCAUGGUUCAAUAGUGAAAGACGGUUUUGCUGUCACUUAUAGAUGGAUCCGCGCUGCAUUAGCUAGUUGGUAAGGUAACGGCUUACCAAGGCAACGAUGCGUAGCCGACCUGAGAGGGUGGUCGGCCACACUAGAACUGGGACACGGUCCAGACUCCUGCGGGAGGCAGCAGUAGGGAAUCUUCCGCAAUGGGCGGAAGCCUGACGGAGCAACGCCGCGUGAGUGAUGAAGGUCUUCGGAUCGUAAAACUCUGUUAUUAGGGAAGAACAAAUGUGUAAGUAACUAUGCACGUCUUGACGGUAACUAAUCAAAAAGCCACGGCUAACUACGUG